UUGUCAGCGCUGUCAUCUGCCCCCAGUCACGUGACUUUGUUUACAAUCUGACAGCUGGACGCAAAGGAAAGCCCUCGGCCUCAUAUGGCUCUGGUGAUCACACCAAAUGCCUGCCUGGCGUAAGAAACAAAUCAGGGGACUUUACACCUUGACACCGUUGGUUAUUUACAAAAAAAACACCUACAUAUACUUGUUAUUGCACUAUAAAAAAGGAUUUUGGAGGGUAGUAUAUAUUAUCCAAGCAAAUCAUUUAAAUUGUACUCAAGGUAUAUAAGUGAGCAUUGUUAGUAUAUUUGAAUGGGUACAUUCUACCUACACUACCUAAUUUCUGACAGUACCAACUGAAACACAAACAAUCUGGGUCAAAUCUACUUGAAGACAUUAGGCCCACACUGCCCCUUUGCGCAUGCGCAUGCGGUGAUUCUUGGCUGCAGGCCAGAGGAGCGGUUCUCUUUCGCGCCUCCCUCCUCCUGCUGUGUGGAAAUGUUGGAAGACAAUUCGUAGUGGAGUGGAGGUGGUGACCCUCAGCCCACGUGUCUUCAAGGAGAGAUGGUUUAUUCAAUGAGGCUCAGAUGAAGGAGGAGUUCCACACGUAACAACUCUUUCACUGGAAGAGACUUUGAUGCUGAAACUGGAUGGGUCCACUAACACCACUCGCUCCAGCUGAUGCGUGCCAAAGAGGAGAUGCUGGCUCCAGGAUGCGCCCUCUUCUGAGCACAAUUGAUGAGGCCCAGAGUGUUGGGAAAAGAGAUGCAGUGGCCAGGUGCCUGAUUGAAGACCUUGGGGAACGCCAAGAAGACCUUUUUCAAGACAGCAGCAUGGAGGACGAGCAUGACAGCGUCGUGGACCAAACUGUGAAGGUGCUUGUGAUCCAUGAUGCCAGGGACCAGCAGAUGUGUCUAUUGUCAGAGAGGGAGACAGAGGUUUGUGCAGAAACCAAACAAAGGCAUUCGCAUUGUUGAUGGAAUUCAUCUCUACGCCCUCAACCUGGAAUACCCCAACAAGCUCAAAUACACAUUUGAGGUAUUCUAAAAACAGUUUUUGGAGCUUGAUGGAGCCAAGCUGCUCAAACAGGUCCAGAGCCGCAAAUAAACAAUUUGUUCUCAAGUGGAUGUUGACUUGUUUUAGUGCCGAGUGACACAAACACAACAUAAUGAGAUGUGGACUGUAAUGGAUGUGGAGAAACCUUGUUCUGUUAAAAGUGGACUGUUUACUGGCACGUAAGGUUUUCAUAGUUGAGUAAAUUGCACUUGGAAGAUUAUGUUAAAAUGCACUUUACUGUUAAAACAAUGUGAUUGUGACUAUUUUGAAGAUUCUGCUCAGUUAACAAUUGAAAUGCACUUAACUGUUUAAAUCAUCUCAAUGUAUGGCCAUAUUGCACUUAUACGUUUGGUCAAUAAAAUCUUGUGUGGUAAUAUAUUGUUUCCUGGUAACCUUACUAAUAAAGUAAUAUUAAUGUGUAAUAUGGAUCAAUUAUUAAGUAAAUAGAUGCCUACGAUUAGGAGUAAAUAUUACUCAUUUAUAAGUAAUAUGUUUUAAGUAAUUGAGUUAGAUUUUACUUAAUUUCUUAAAGUAAGUCUUAUAUAUUAAAUAUUAGUACCCUUUACCCAAAAACAUUGGGUCAAAUCUACUCAAAAGAAGUGUGUGCAAAUUGUUACCCCCAUUUUAUUGAGUAGAUCUUAUAGGUUGGUUUUUACAGUGUGUGCUUCUGUGUCUUUUACUCUGCUCCGUGAACUCCCUCGACGGGGCCCUCGCUCUUUUCUUGAUCACCCUCUCACGGAGAACACUUCACUGUCCCGCUUCAUUGUAGGAUUUCUGCCACUUCAGUUUUAUUUAUUUAG